GAUGAACGCUGGCGGCGUGCCUAAUACAUGCAAGUCGAGCGAACAGACGAGGAGCUUGCUCCUUCGACGUUAGCGGCGGACGGGUGAGUAACACGUAGGUAACCUACCUAUAAGACUGGGAUAACUUCGGGAAACCGGAGCUAAUACCGGAUAAUAUUUCGAACCGCAAGGUUCGAUAGUGAAAGAUGGCUUUGCUAUCACUUAUAGAUGGACCUGCGCCGUAUUAGCUAGUUGGUAAGGUAACGGCUUACCAAGGCAACGAUACGUAGCCGACCUGAGAGGGUGAUCGGCCACACUGGAACUGAGACACGGUCCAGACUCCUACGGGAGGCAGCAGUAGGGAAUCUUCCGCAAUGGGCGAAAGCCUGACGGAGCAACGCCGCGUGAGUGAUGAAGGUCUUCGGAUCGUAAAACUCUGUUAUUAGGGAAGAACAAACGUGUAAGUAACUGUGCACGUCUUGACGGUACCUAAUCAGAAAGCCACGGCUAACUACGUG
rnacentral:rRNA from 1 species